AUUGAACGCUGGCGACGUGCUUAACACAUGCAAGUCGUGCGAGAAAGGAGGCUUCGGUCUCUGAGUAGAGCGGCGCACGGGUGAGUAACGCGUGGAUGAUCUACCCUUGAGUUCGGGAUAACGGUGCGAAAGCGCCGCUAAUACCGUAUAACAAUCCAUUUCAUCGUGGGUUCAAAGCAGGCCUCUUCAUGAAAGCUUGCGCUUGGGGAUGAGUCCGCGUCCCAUUAGCUUGUUGGCGGGGUAACGGCCCACCAAGGCAACGAUGGGUAGCUGGUCUGAGAGGAUGAUCAGCCACACUGGAACUGAAACACGGUCCAGACUCCUACGGGAGGCAGCAGUGGGGAAUAUUGCGCAAUGGGGGAAACCCUGACGCAGCGACGUCGUGUGAGGGAAGAAGGCCUUCGGGUCGUAAACCUCUGUCAGAAGGGAAGAACAUCCGGGAGUCGAACAGCCUCCCGGCCUGACGGUACCUUCAGAGGAAGCGCCGGCUAACUCCGUGCCAGCAGCCGCAGUAA
rnacentral:rRNA from 1 species